rnacentral:rRNA from 1 species
GAUGAGUUCUCCCUGAGACUUUAAGUCUCCUGAAGGAACGUUAAAGACGAUGACGUUGAUAGGCCGGGUGUGUAAGCGCAGCGAUGCGUUGAGCUAACCGGUACUAAUGAACCGUGAGGCUUAACCUUACAACGCCGAAG